CCUGUUUUGCUUCCUUCUUGCUCGUUAACUCACUCUGUUCACCUGUGCCUUACUUUCCCUAGCUAUGUCUCUUUCCCUGAUUGUCUCAUGUGUGUUUAAGCCCUCAGUUUAGUUUAAUUUCUGUUUCUACUGUUGUUGUGGAUUUGCUGCUGCCAUUUAAAAAAAGGUCAAAAGGGAAGAGAUCCUGUGUAAUCCCCUCUUCGUGGUUGGUUCACACAGACACCAGUGCAGGGGUCCAAAUCAUGCCUCCAGACCCACAGGGACAAAUAUUCAGCACAGACGUCAAAUUACCAUCUGGAAGUGACAUAAGACAACUCGGGCUGCUGCCCAUGUUGUGAAACAUAAGCAUGUCUUUUGUCCUGUUUUCCUUGUCUCACCCCAGCCGAUCGCAGCAGAAAAAGUGAGCAACAACAAAACUAAAACACAAAUGAAAACAAGCAACAACAGCAAAUAAGAAGCAGCAUUCUGCCACAAAGCUUCUCGCCUGUGGGAAUCAGUCUUUCCUAGUUGCUGCUAUCUUGUGGCUGUACUCUGUAUGACUAUGAUUCCACUGGUCUCUGUAGCAUGAUGUUGAUCAUGGAUCUAAUAAAGGUGGAAGCCCCUCCCCCCAACAAAAGAAAGGAUGAAAGCACAGAACUAAGAGGCUGUGAGGCAGGGAGCCUCUUAUUAACAGAUCUGAUAUACUUCAUCUCAGCUUGCCUUUCUUUAAACAUGUUUGCUGACAGAUGAAUGACGGCAGGACUGUGAUAGAGGUGAAAGCAUGAAUGACCACAGUGAGCAAAGAAGGAACUUUCAGUCCAAAUCCUUUCAAGAGGGUACAGGACUCCACCUACUUCCACGUAGACUGAGGACUUCUACAGGCACGUGGCUUUCAUCCAGAGACUCUGAGCGUUUGGGCCUGCAAGUGCAGGGGUACUGCUGCCCCCUCCUGCAGAGGCCCAGCAGUGGAAGGGUGAUCCCACAGAGCAGAGGGGGAGGAAAUGAGAAACUGUUCAGCAGCAUCAGGGUGAGGCUGGAAAGCAGAGCAAAGCCAGCAUCAAGGUCCAAAACUGGGAGCAGACCUGAGAUGACCUCACAAAGUGGAGCUCCCACUGUGAGCCAAAGCAAAGAUCCAGUCGAUGAAAGAACAGAGACCUCGAGAACCCCCUGCGACAGCGAGAGGCCGGCUCGACACACGCAUCCUGCUUCCACAAAGGUUUCAGAGCUCCAUCUAUAUCUGCCUUCAUCACUGUGUGAAGAUGAGAAGCAGGACAGAGACGGACGGGACAUAAGGCAUUUAUCAGAGGAGACCAGCGCUGAAGAAGAUGAGGUCAAACUAACCAUCUCACACACAUCGCACACCAGUGAAGACGAGCCUAAUCCAGGACUCAGCAAUCCACAGCACAACACAGACACCAACUGAUCACAGGGGAUAACCUUCGGAGCCAGUUUAACUCAAAAGAAUAACCACAUGACCAGCACACACAAACACACAGGCUCCCUAAUGAGGUGGUGUAGUUUCUUCUCAGAAUAUAGCAUCAACGCUCUGCUCUGAGAGCCGGAUGACCACUGAUGGACGACGGUGUAUAUGCACCGCAGGGACACUUGAGAAAAGGUCAAAUUAAUGAGAUCUCUGUGGACAACAUCCCAGUGCAAUACAUAUCACUGUUAGUGGAGCAGAUUUCAAAAUAAAACCUGGAUAAAUGACAGCUGUAGUGACGAGAUGAGGCAAACGAGAAAAACGUAGAAUGUGGAAAACGGAGAGCGCGAGAAUGAAAAGAACAGGACACUGCUAACAAACCACGACCAAAGACUUGAGUUUAAUAGAGCGAUAGAAACCUCAGAGUUCACUGAAGUCAUGUGAUGAGCUGAUCAAGCAGUUCCAGACUGCAAACAGUCACUUUGAAGGCCGUGUUAGUCAGGUGUGUUCACCUGUAACUACAGCUAUAUAGGUUUGUCAGUGAUUUUACAUUUUAUUUUGUUAUGCUCCACAGUCAGCUUUUCUUCCAUCCACACAGAUGUUGGACUUUUAUCAGUUUUAGGAUUCAUGAUUAUUCAGUUUACCUGAUUUACCUGAUUAUGUGUUUCGUGUUGUAAUAACUGAGAAGCCAUCAAUGAAUAGAAAGAAGAAUUUGUGGAUUAUUUUGUUUCAUUAAAGACAUUUGUUUCUUAGUA